CAAAUGGUCAUUUCUGAGCUUU
rnacentral:miRNA from 1 species